GAAUGGUCGUGUUACUUAAAUACUCAUGACGUCAAUAAUAUCCAAUGUUGUGGUUAAUUUGAUCAAAAGUUUAAGAUAUCUAUCGACAGAAAAAACCGAUCGUUGGCGAGAAUAUUUCGACGACAAAGUGUGAAAUUUGAAAUAAAAUACAACAGAGGAAUGAAUGAAAGGUGACAAGACGCUGG